UUUAGUGGUUGUAGUGGUUUGAAUGAAAAUGGCCCCCAUAGGCUCAUCCUAUUGGGAGGUGUGACCUUGUUGGAGGAAGUGUGUCACUAGGUUGGGCUUUGAGGUUUCAAAUGCCCAAGCCAGGCCCAGUGUCACUCUCUCUUUCUGUUGCUUUUGGAUUCAGAUGUGGAGCUACCUCUCCAGCCUUCUGUCUGCCUGCAGGUGUCUAUGCGUCCCACCAUGAUGACACUGUACUAAACCUCUGAAACGUAAGUGCAUAUCCAUUGUGACUGGGCAGUGGCGAAUCUAAGAAGCGGUGCGACAGAGCUGUCAAACAAAGAAAGAACACAGAAGUCUGGAGAAGAGAAGUGGUGUCAGUGGAUGAGCAGAGAAUGAUGCCAUUGCACCCCUGCCAUUGUGUGUAGACCUUAGGUCAGACUCAGGACCGUGUGCCCAGGAGAUAGCAGAGCCCAGAGCAGGAUGAACACUUCUACACCAAUUAAGAUAAUCAAGACAAUCUCUCACAGACAUGUCCACCGACUAACAAUGAUAAAGGGCCACUGACUCAAUUAAGAUUUUUUCCCAGUUAAUUCUGAACUAUAUCAAGUUGACAACGUUAACUAGGAACAGCGAUGAUGAGAGAAAUGAC
rnacentral:lncRNA from 1 species